rnacentral:rRNA from 1 species
GAUGAACGCUGGCGGCGUGCCUAAUACACGCAAGUCGAGCGAAUGGAUUAAGAGCUUGCUCUUAUGAAGUUAGCGGCGGACGGGUGAGUAACACGUGGGUAACCUGCCCAUAAGACUGGGAUAACUCCGGGAAACCGGGGCUAAUACCGGAUAACAUUUUGAACCGCAUGGUUCGAAAUUGAAAGGCGGCUUCGGCUGUCACUUAUGGAUGGACCCGCGUCGCAUUAGCUAGUUGGUGAGGUAACGGCUCACCAAGGCAACGAUGCGUAGCCGACCUGAGAGGGUGAUCGGCCACACUGGGACUGAGACACGGCCCAGACUCCUACGGGAGGCAGCAGUAGGGAAUCUUCCGCAAUGGACGAAAGUCUGACGGGGCAACGCCGCGUGAGUGAUGAAGGCUUUCGGGUCGUAAAACUCUGUUGUUAGGGAAGAACAAGUGCUAGUUGAAUAAGCUGGCACCUUGACGGUACCUAACCAGAAAGCCACGGCUAACUACGUGCCAGCAGCCGCAGUAA